ACCUGGCUCUGCCAUCGCCCCCUGUGUGCCUGGGAUGAGCAGACAAUAGCCACACUCAGUCAUGGAGUUGCUGUGAAGACUGAAUGCCUGCUUAGCUCAGUUGUCUAGGUCUGGCCAGCACUCGAGGGGAGAAGACUGCACAAGAACAUGACCCAUAGGAGGCAGGAUCCCCGGGACCACCCUGGAAGCUGUUCCCACAGGCACCUUCUCCUGUCACCAUCCUCUGCCUGGACCAGGUCAGAUGCACCCAGGCUUUUGUGACCAGUCCUACGUGAGGGGUGUGAUUCCACCGUCUUCCACGUUCAGCCUGGACCUGCCCUCUGACUUCCAGGCUCAUAUCAAGCUGAUCAAUGCUGGCUGACCAGCCCACCUCCGCAUUCCAUCUGUUGGAAAAGGGAAAGACAGGAGGUGAAGAGUGACAUGCUGGAGGAAGAGUCAUGAAUAAUAUUGAAGAUGAUUCAGCGUCUCCUGGUUUUACUCCUGCACCACCCAAAGAGAAAAUAGAAAGAGGAGCAUUGCUUCCCCUGUAUCAUGUCAUAAUAUGAAAUUGUGUUAUUACAG